rnacentral:rRNA from 1 species
UACGAAGGGGGCUAGCGUUGCUCGGAAUUACUGGGCGUAAAGCGCACGUAGGCGGCUUUCUAAGUCGGGGGUGAAAUCCUGGAGCUCAACUCCAGAACUGCCUUCGAUACUGGAGAGCUUGAGUCCGGGAGAGGUGAGUGGAACUGCGAGUGUAGAGGUGAAAUUCGUAGAUAUUCGCAAGAACACCUAUGGCGAAGGCAGCUCUCUGGGACGGUACUGACGCUGAGACGCGAAAGCGUGGGGAGCGAACAGG